GAUGAAGAACGUAGCGAAAUGCGAUACGUAAUGUGAAUUGCAGAAUUCAGUGAAUCAUCGAGUCUUUGAACGCUCAUUGCGUCCCCUGGUAUUCCGGGGGGCAUGCCUGUCCGAGCGUCAUUGCUGCCCUCAAGCACGGCUUGUGUGUUGGGCCUCCGUCCUCCUCCCGGGGGACGGGCCCGAAAGGCAGCGGCGGCACCGCGUCCGGUCCUCGAGCGUAUGGGGCUUCGUCACCCGCUCUUGUAGGCCCGGCCGGCGCUUGCCGACACAUCAAUCUUUUUUCCAGGUUGACCUCGGAUCAGGUAGGGAUACCCGCUGAACUUAAGCAUAUCAAUAAGCGGAGGA
rnacentral:misc_RNA from 1 species